rnacentral:rRNA from 1 species
CAGCAGCCACGGGAAUACGGAGGGGGCUAGCGUUGUUCGGAAUUACUGGGCGUAAAGCGCACGUAGGCGGCUUGGUAAGUUAGAGGUGAAAGCCUGGAGCUCAACUCCAGAAUUGCCUUUAAGACUGCCGAGCUAGCAGGUGAGAGAGGUAAGUGGAAUUCCGAGUGUAGAGGUGAAAUUCGUAGACAUUCGGAAGAACACCAGUGGCGAAGGCGGCUUACUGGCUCAUACUGGACGCUGAGGUGCGAAAGCGUGGGGAGCAAACAGGAUUAGAUACCCCUGUAGUCCCUGUCUCCUUAUA